rnacentral:tRNA from 1 species
GCUGGAAUGGCUCAGUUGGUUAGAGCGUGUGGCUGUUAACCACAAGGACGAAGGUUCGACCCCUUCUUCUAGCG